UUGCCAGCCCGCUCAAGAAACUCAAAGGAAUUGACGGGGGCCCGCACAAGCGGUGGAGUAUGUGGUUUAAUUCGAUGCAACGCGAAGAACCUUACCUGGUCUUGACAUCCCGGAGACCCUUAGGAAACUAGGGGGUGCUUCCAUCUGGAAGAAUCUGGAGACAGGUGCUGCAUGGCUGUCGUCAGCUCGUGUCGUGAGAUGUUGGGUUAAGUCCCGCAACGAGCGCAACCCUUGCCUUUAGUUGCCAGCAGUUCGGCUGGGCACUCUAAAGGGACUGCCGGUGUUAAACCGGAGGAAGGUGGGGAUGACGUCAAGUCCUCAUGGCCUUUAUGACCAGGGCUACACACGUACUACAAUGGCCGAUACAAAGGGCAGCGACACUGCGAGGUGAAGCCAAUCCCGUAAAAUCGGUCUCAGUCCGGAUUGGAGUCUGCAACUCGACUCCAUGAAGUUGGAAUCGCUAGUAAUCGUGGAUCAGCAUGCCACGGUGAAUACGUUCCCGGGCCUU
rnacentral:rRNA from 1 species